rnacentral:rRNA from 1 species
AUGGCUCAGAACGAACGCUGGCGGCAUGCCUAACACAUGCAAGUCGAACGAGACCUUCGGGUCUAGUGGCGCACGGGUGCGUAACGCGUGGGAAUCUGCCCCUCGGUUGGGAAUAACACAGAGAAAUUUGUGCUAAUACCUUAUAAUGUCUUCGGACCAAAGAUUUAUCGCCGAGGGAUGAGCCCGCGUAGGAUUAGGUAGUUGGUGGGGUAAUGGCCUACCAAGCCGACGAUCCUUAGCUGGUCUGAGAGGAUGAUCAGCCACACUGGGACUGAGACACGGCCCAGACUCCUACGGGAGGCAGCAGUGGGGAAUAUUGGACAAUGGGCGAAAGCCUGAUCCAGCCAAUGCCGCGUGAGUGAUGAAGGCCUUAGGGUUGUAAAGCUCUUUUACCCGGGAUGAUAAUGACAGUACCGGGAGAAUAAGCUCCGGCUAACUCCGUGCCAGCAGCAGC